CGCCGAUGACGCUCUGGCCCCUCCCCUUCGUUGCCGGCAGGUAGCUCCUCACUGCUACUGAGUUUAGCUUCAUUUCUACAGUCAAUAUUAAUUCAAUAACUGCUUCUAAACCAAAAACUUCACCAGCGGACAUGUUAGAGCGGGAGUCUGACCUGAAAUCACGUACAAAUGAACAACAUCAACAAUCAAGAUUACAGCUUUCUGUGACGUUUUCCUCAGGUACAGCAGUGAGCAGUGACCUACAGUCUACACAGCCCAGUGAAGUUAAACAUAUUAUAUAUUACAUAAUAUUAACAACAUUAGUCAAGUAGUUGUUUGUAGUGAAGAAACACCCAGUAAAUGUACCAAAGUAAUCAGAGUAAUAGUAUAAUGAUUACUGUAACCUCCCAUCUGUUAUAUUCUUUAUAACCAUUAGUUUACUGAGACCAUGGAAACAGAAACCUGGAAUACUUUAUCCUGUACAACAUGUCAACAUAACUGAAGGAAUUACUCAUCUAAUAAAGUAAAUUGUUUAUGGGGUUGAAAAACUGCUAAGUAACCAACUGUUAACAGUACUGUAUCCAUAUUUCAUAGUCUGAUAUAGUAUUAUUACCAAAGUUAACCUUCAGAUAUUUGUAAAAGCAGCAAUUAUGUUUAAACCCCAUUAAAAAUACUGUAUACUGAAUAUUCUAUCAUUUAUAUUAUAUACUGUAUUAUGAUGUCAUUUAUCUUCCAACAUAAUAAAGUUUGAAUGUAAGACAGUAAUGUAUUGUGUUGCUUACAGUCAUUAAUACAGGUUUAAAUUUCACAUUUUCAUAUUGAUAGAUGACCAGAUUCAAAUCUUCAUAAAACCUCUGUGAAAUAACAUGUUAUUUAUAUAAAAACACACUUAUUACUGAAUUUAAAAAUGACCAAAACUCUUCUUAAAAGUAAAACACUUUAUUUAUAUUUCAUUCAUAUUCCAGUUACACAUGUUGUAAGUAACAAAGCUAGAACUUUUAUGUAAACUGUGCAGAUCAUGUCCUCCAUCAAGGUUUAUUGUUUCUAGUAUACUGAAGUGUGAGCUGGUAAUGGAGCUCUGCAGUCAGUGUUCAUCUUGUUGAGUCUUCCUUUGGAUACCCAGACUGUCCUGAUGCUGCAGCUGUCUCUGUCCUCUGAUGAGUCCAGGAACACCUGAGCUUCAUCAGCUCACCUGUAAAACAUGGAGGAUUCAGUGUUACUUGUAAGACAGCAUAUAAUAUACAGUGUAAUAUAAUACAGUAUAAUAUAAUACAGUGUAAUAUAAUACAAGAAUAUAAUACAGUAUAAUAUAAUAUACAGUAUAAUAUAAUACAGUGUAAUAUAAUACAAUGUAAUAUAAUACAGUAUAAUAUAAUACAGUAUAAUAUAAUACAGUGUAAUAUAAUACAGUAUAAUAUAAUACAGUAUAAUAUAAUACAGUGUAAUAUAAUACAGUGUAAUAUAAUAUACAGUAUAAUAUAAUACAGUGUAAUAUAAUACAAUGUAAUAUAAUACAGUAUAAUAUAAUAUACAGUAUAAUAUAAUACUGUGUAAUAUAAUAUACAGUAUAAUAUAAUAUACAGUGUAAUAUAAUACAGUGAAUAUAAUACAGUAUAAUAUAAUAUACAGUAUAAUACAGUGUAAUAUAAUACAAUGUAAUAUAAUACAGUAUAAUAUAAUAUACAGUAUAAUAUAAUACAGUGUAAUAUAAUACAGUAUAAUAUAAUAUACAGUAUAAUAUAAUACAGUGUAAUAUAAUACAGUAUAAUAUAAUAUACAGUGUAAUAUAAUACAGUGUAAUAUAAUAUACAGUAUAAUAUAAUACAGUGUAAU
ensembl:lncRNA